UAUUGCCUAGUUCAGAAAGCACAUGACAAAUAUACUGAAUCUGAUGAGAAUCUAAUAAGACUCAACAUCAUGACAGUCAAAUCCUUAUUCAUGUAUUUUCGUUAACUUGGGUUCCAGCCCAAAACAAUUUUUCACAGUAGGACUACAUAUAUUUUAUGUAUGUAUUGAAUUGUGUACAGAUAAAUUACCUUGCAGAAGUUUGUUUAUAAAUUAUUAAAAAAAAAAAACACGAGUGAUGGCUCCACGUAAAAAGCACUGAUAUUGAUGUCACGUAAAAAAGCGCUGAUAUUGAUGUCACGUAAAAAAGCGCUGAUGAUGGUGCCACAAAAAAAAAAAAGCACCCAGUACACUGUGAAGUGGUUGACGUUAGGAAGGGCAGCCAGUCGAAGAAACCAUGUCAGAACAGACAAUGGAGCCUGGUGCGGCCCCACGGCCUUGCCAGCUCCUGCCAAACCGUCCAAUCCAUGCUAGCAUGGAAAACGGACGUUAAAUGAUGAUGACGACGACGACGACAGCAAUGAUAAUGAUUACUGUUUCAAGCCUACUGUGAGUUCCAGCUGCAAAUUUGACUAUCUUCAUGCUGUUCUAAAUUUUGACAUCUCUCCAAGACGUCUCUACACCUCAGAUGAACUUGCUAAAGUUAUCAAAACGUUCUACUUCCAUUUUUAAAUAACAGCUGUGUCCCAAGUACAAGGAUUGGCAAAUCUACUAUAAUACAUAUUUUUCAAAAAAACAUGUGACAAAAGAUGAUUUCAACAAUCAAUAAACAUCCCAAACAAAUACAAUUUUAAACAUUGCACAGGUGAUACUUCUCCACAGAACCCAAGAAACACAGUUUCAUUUAUCAACUCAACUAGUCACCACCAGAGACCAGCUGACAACACAAUAAACCACUCAAAUGACAAGUAUAAUACAUGAAGUAAUUUAUAUUCUCAUAUUACAAUUACAAAUGUUAUAAUAUUGGAAAUUGGCAGAACCAAAGUUCAAAACAUACACUUCUUUAAACAAAAUGCAAUUAUAUAAAAUAAGAUGAUAGAACAAUAUUCCAAAUUUAUAAUUUUAAAAACAAGAAAAUCUUUGAAACUAAAGCUCUGUUUUUAAACAAAUUACAAACUGGAGGAAAACAUCAGUCAUACAGCAUGCCCACAAACUAAACAAGGCAAAAAUAUCUCAUCUACAUACCUACCUGUUAUUAGCUGCUAACCAACUUUCAAACUUAAUGAAAAGGUCAUUGUGGAAAGAUAGGAUGGAAGUAGUUGCAGAUAAACUCAUGUAUGUAAACCGAAACAGAAAGAGUAGAAAAUUGAAACCAAAACCUAAGUUGUUAAUUUACAUAAAUAUUUGCAAAAUUUGUAGGCUUUAUUAAUGACUCUUCCCAAAUAAAACAAUUUGUAAAAUGACAACAGUUAACAUUUGCUCUUAUUUUUUUAAUAUUGUCAUUCUAUUC